UACGUAGGUGGCAAGCGUUGUCCGGAAUUAUUGGGCGUAAAGCGCGCGCAGGCGGUUCCUUAAGUCUGAUGUGAAAGCCCACGGCUCAACCGUGGGGGGUCAUUGGAAACUGGGGAACUUGAGUGCAGAAGAGAAGAGCGGAAUUCCACGUGUAGCGGUGAAAUGCGUAGAGAUGUGGAGGAACACCAGUGGCGAAGGCGACUCUUUGGCCUGUAACUGACACUGAGGCGCGAAAGCGUGGGGAGCAAACAGG
rnacentral:rRNA from 1 species